CCUUGGCCGUCAUCUCCGAGGUGGAACAGGCAAUACCAGCAGCACCCAUAUCCUGCAUACCCACCACCGCACCGGUUUUCAGUGCUUCAAGGCUUGCUUCCAAAAGCAGCUUUUCGGUAAAUGGAUCGCCAACCUGUACGCUCGGACGUUUCGCGUCACUUUCUUCGCUGAUUUCUUCCGAGGCAAACGUUGCUCCAUGAAUACCGUCGCGUCCGGUGCUGGAUCCGACAAUAAUGA
rnacentral:misc_RNA from 1 species